rnacentral:lncRNA from 1 species
CCGGAUUGCGAUGAUUAACCUCUCCCUCUCCUCGACUGAGAAGAGCUCUCAUUAUCGAUCAUGGUUCACGAGAAAGUAGGUGUUUUUCAUCAAAUACAGUACAUUCCUCAGGGGUUAAUUCUAACGACUCAAUUAUUUUGGGCUCGCCAAAUUCGACUUCUGGAAAAUUAAGAGCUUCGUGGGGUUUAUGUAGCAUGGAACCGUCACUCAUGCUUUGAUUCCUGCUUCGGAAACAUUUGGAAUCGCAACGGAACCGCAAUUCUUUAAAACGAAAGAUCGGAAACGUAUAUUUUGAUAUGGAAGCGGAUUGUUUAUUAAUAGAAGGCAUGUUCUGUAUUUUCUUAAUCAAGAUCUAAAAUGUGAGCUCAACAAAAAGCAGGAAGAUGACUUUGUGGGAUUUGUCCACGUAUUUUAAUUUUUUAUAGGUUUUAAAUUUCCUUUCUCCUUUUUUUUUUGUCGAACAAAUUUUUUUUCUUUUGGUCCAAUAUUUUAGUUAUGCAUGUAAGCACAGUUUGACUUCAUCUUAUAUAUUAAAACAGAAGUCACAACCUUGAUUCAUGUGUGAUUUUUUUUUUUAAAUGGACCCUUGCUAGAAAUCAAUUAUCAUUCAUUUAUUACUAAUAAUAUGAAUUAAUAAUAUAUCAUUCCUAAUAUAACAUCGACUCCUAAAAACCUGGAUUGGUUAACAAACUCACAUUGAUUCAUGUGCGAUAUUUUUAUUUGGAUCAUCAUUUAAAUUUUUUUAUUAAAUGUAUUUCCUUAAUGCUAAUAUAUA